rnacentral:rRNA from 1 species
AGAGUUUGAUCCUGGCUCAGGACGAACGCUGGCGGCGUGCUUAACACAUGCAAGUCGAGGGCAUUUAUGCAGCAAUGUGUAAGUGACCGGCGAACGGGUGCGUAACACGUGAGCGACCUUGCCUCGUGGUGGGGGAUAGCCGGCCCAACGGCCGGGUAAUACCGCAUAGGGUAGUUUCUUCGCAUGGGGAGACUAGCAAAGCUGAGUUGCAAGACUUGGCGCCACAGGGGGGGCUCGCGGCCUAUCAGCUAGUUGGGGGGGUAAUGGCCCACCAAGGCGACGACGGGUAGCUGGUCUGAGAGGAUGGCCAGCCACAUUGGGACUGAGAGACGGCCCAGACUCCUACGGGAGGCAGCAGUGGGGAAUCUUGCGCAAUGGCCGAAAGGCUGACGCAGCGACGCCGCGUGGGGGAGGAAGGCCUUCGGGUUGUAAACCCCUGUUGCCCGGGACGAAUGUGCACUUUAGAGUGCAUUGACGGUACCGGGUGAGGAAGCACCGGCUAACUCCGUGCCAGCAGCCGCGGUAAUACGGAGGGUGCAAGCGUUGUCCGGAAUCACUGGGCGUAAAGGGCGCGUAGGCGGCUCAUAAAGGCUGUGGUGAAAGUUCGGGGCUCAACCUCGAAUCGGCCGUGGCGACUUGUGGGCUGGAGCACUGUAGAGGCAGGUGGAAUUCCGGGUGUAGCGGUGGAAUGCUUAGAUAUUAGGAGGAACACCGGUGGCGAAGGCGGUCAUCUGGGCUACAACUGACGCUGAGGCGCGAAAGCGUGGGGAGCAAACAGGAUUAGAUACCCUGGUAGUCCACGCUGUAAACGAUGAGUGCUAGAUAUCGGGGAGUUUACUCUUCGGUUUCGUAGUUAACGCAUUAAGCACUCCGCCUGGGGAGUACGGUCGCAAGAUUAAAACUCAAAGGAAUUGACGGGGGCUCGCACAAGUGGUGGAGCAUGCGGUUUAAUUCGAUGUUACGCGAAAAACCUUACCAACCCUUGACAUGGUGGUCGCGGAUCGCAGAGAUGCUUUCCUUCAGUUCGGCUGGACCACACACAGGUGUUGCAUGGCUGUCGUCAGCUCGUGUCGUGAGAUGUUGGGUUAAGUCCCGCAACGAGCGAAACCCUCAUCCUUAUUUGCCAGCGGGUAAUGCCGGGAACUAUACGGAAACUGCCGGUGAUAAGCCGGAGGAAGGUGGGGAUGAUGUCAAGUCAUCAUGGCCCUUACGGGUUGGGCUACACGCGUGCUACAAUGGUAACUACAGAGGGAAGCAAUACGGCGACGUGGAGCAAAUCCCUAAAAGUUAUCUCAGUUCGGAUUGCUCUCUGCAACUCGAGAGCAUGAAGUCGGAAUCACUAGUAAUCGCGGAUCAGCAUGCCGCGGUGAAUACGUUCUCGGGCCUUGUACACACUGCCCGUCACGCCAUGGGAGUUGGUUUUACCUGAAGGUGGUGAGUUAACUAGCAAUAGAGACAGCCAACCACGGUAAAAUUAGCGACUGGGGUGAAGUCGUAACAAGGUAACC